AUGGCCACAUCAUGUUGAAACACUGGUUCCUGUAUGAUCAUAGAAGUUAAGUAACAUUGAGCCUGGUCAAUACCUUGAUGGGUGACUGCUUGGGAAUACCAGGUGGU